rnacentral:rRNA from 1 species
UACGGCCGGGGCUAGCGUUGUUCGGAAUUACUGGGCGUAAAGAGCGCGUAGGCGGCUUACCAAGUUGGGGGUGAAAUCCCGGAGCUCAACUCCGGAACUGCCUUCAAAACUGGUAGGCUCGAGUCCGGAAGAGGGGCGUGGAAUUCCCAGUGUAGAGGUGAAAUUCGUAGAUAUUGGGUAGAACACCGGUGGCGCAGGCGGCGCCCUGGUCCGGUACUGACGCUGAGGCGCGAAAGGGUGGGGAGCAAACAGG